rnacentral:rRNA from 1 species
GACGAACGCUGGCGGCACGCCUAACACAUGCAAGUGGAACGGACUUAAAAGAGCUUGCUUUUUUAAGUUAGUGGCGGACGGGUGAGUAACACGUGAGCAACCUGCCUCUGAGAGGGGGAUAGCUUCUGGAAACGGAUGGUAAUACCCCAUAAAAUAUAAAUAUCGCAUGAUAGAUAUAUCAAAGAAAUUCGCUCAGAGAUGGGCUCGCGUCUGAUUAGAUAGUUGGUGAGGUAACGGCUCACCAAGUCGACGAUCAGUAGCCGGACUGAGAGGUUGAACGGCCACAUUGGGACUGAGACACGGCCCAGACUCCUACGGGAGGCAGCAGUGGGGAAUAUUGCACAAUGGAGGGAACUCUGAUGCAGCGAUGCCGCGUGGAGGAAGAAGGUUUUCGGAUUGUAAACUCCUUUUAUCAGGGACGAUAAUGACGGUACCUGAAGAAAAAGCUCCGGCUAACUACGUG